rnacentral:rRNA from 1 species
UACGUAGGUGGCAAGCGUUGUCCGGAAUUAUUGGGUGUAAAGCGCGCGCAGGUGGUUUCUUAAGUCUGAUGUGAAAGCCCACGGCUCAACCGUGGAGGGUCAUUGGAAACUGGGGAACUUGAGUGCAGGAGAGAAGAGUGGAAUUCCACGUGUAGCGGUGAAAUGCGUAGAGAUGUGGAGGAACACCAGUGGCGAAGGCGACUCUUUGGCCUGUAACUGACACUGAGGCGCGAAAGCGUGGGGAGCAAACAGG